rnacentral:tRNA from 1 species
AUUUAAGUAGUUUAUUUAAAAUAUUGAUUUGUGGUGUCAAUGUUAUACUUUUGUAUCUUAAAUA